rnacentral:rRNA from 1 species
AAUUUGAGAGGAGCUGUCCUUAGUACGAGAGGACCGGGAUGGACGUACCGCUGGUGCACCAGUUGUUCCGCCAGGAGCAUGGCUGGGUAGCUACGUACGGACGGGAUAAGCGCUGAAAGCAUCUAAGCGUGAAGCCCCCCUCAAGAUGAGAUUUCCCAAGUUAGUAAGACCCCUUGAAGACGACGAGGUAGAUAGGUUGGAGGUGGAAGUGCUGCAAAGCAUGGAGCUGACCAAUACUAAUCGGUCGAGGGCUUAUCCA